rnacentral:rRNA from 1 species
UACGAAGGGGGCUAGCGUUGUUCGGAUUUACUGGGCGUAAAGCGCACGUAGGCGGAUCGUUAAGUCGGGGGUGAAAUCCUGGAGCUCAACUCCAGAACUGCCUCUGAUACUGGCGAUCUUGAGUCCGGAAAAGGUGAGUGGAACUCCUAGUGUAGAGGUGGAAUUCGUAGAUAUUAGGAAGAACACCAGUGGCGAAGGCGGCUCACUGGUCCGGUACUGACGCUGAGGUGCGAAGCGUGAGGAGCAAACAGG